CAGCAGCCGCGGGAAAACGGAGGGGGCUAGCGUUGUUCGGAAUUACUGGGCGUAAAGCGCACGUAGGCGGUUAUUCAAGUCAGAGGUGAAAGCCCAGUGCUCAACACUGGAACUGCCUUUGAAACUAGAUAACUUGAAUCCAGGAGAGGUGAGUGGAAUUCCGAGUGUAGAGGUGAAAUUCGUAGAUAUUCGGAAGAACACCAGUGGCGAAGGCGGCUCACUGGACUGGUAUUGACGCUGAGGUGCGAAAGCGUGGGGAGCAAACAGGAUUAGAUACCCGGGUAGUCCCUGUCUCUUAUAA
rnacentral:rRNA from 1 species